rnacentral:rRNA from 1 species
UGGGGAAUAUUGCACAAUGGGGGAAACCCUGAUGCAGCGACGCCGCGUGGAGGAAGAAGGUCUUCGGAUUGUAAACUCCUGUUGUUGAGGAAGAUAAUGACGGUACUCAACAAGGAAGUGACGGCUAACUACGUGCCAGCAGCCGCGGUAAAACGUAGGUCACAAGCGUUGUCCGGAAUUACUGGGUGUAAAGGGAGCGCAGGCGGGAAGACAAGUUGGAAGUGAAAUCCAUGGGCUCAACCCAUGAACUGCUUUCAAAACUGUUUUUCUUGAGUAGUGCAGAGGUAGGCGGAAUUCCCGGUGUAGCGGUGGAAUGCGUAGAUAUCGGGAGGAACACCAGUGGCGAAGGCGGCCUACUGGGCACCAACUGACGCUGAGGCUCGAAAGUGUGGGUAGCAAACAGGAUUAGAUACCCUGGUAGUCCACACCGUAAACGAUGAUUACUAGGUGUUGGAGGAUUGACCCCUUCAGUGCCGCAGUUAACACAAUAAGUAAUCCACCUGGGGAGUACGACCGCAAGGUUGAAACUCAAAGGAAUUGACGGGGGCCCGCACAAGCAGUGGAGUAUGUGGUUUAAUUCGACGCAACGCGAAGAACCUUACCAAGUCUUGACAUCCUGCGACGAUGCUGGAAACAGUAUUUUCCUUCGGGACGCAGAGACAGGUGGUGCAUGGUUGUCGUCAGCUCGUGUCGUGAGAUGUUGGGUUAAGUCCCGCAACGAGCGCAACCCUUAUUGCCAGUUACUACGCAAGAGGACUCUGGCGAGACUGCCGUUGACAAAACGGAGGAAGGUGGGGAUGACGUCAAAUCAUCAUGCCCUUUAUGACCUGGGCUACACACGUACUACAAUGGCGUUUAACAAAGAGAAGCAAGACCGCGAGGUGGAGCAAAACUCAAAAACAACGUCUCAGUUCAGAUUGCAGGCUGCAACUCGCCUGCAUGAAGUCGGAAUUGCUAGUAAUCGCGGAUCAGCAUGCCGCGGUGAAUACGUUCCC